rnacentral:rRNA from 1 species
GUGCCAGCAGCCGCGGUAAUACGUAGGGUACAAGCGUUGUCCGGAAUUAUUGGGCGUAAAGAGCUCGUAGGCGGUUCGUCGCGUCUGCUGUGGAAACGCAAGGCUCAACCUUGCGCGUGCAGUGGGUACGGGCGGACUAGAGUGCAGUAGGGGAGUCUGGAAUUCCUGGUGUAGCGGUGAAAUGCGCAGAUAUCAGGAGGAACACCGGUGGCGAAGGCGGUUCUCUGGGCAUUACCUGACGCUGAGGAGCGAAAGCAUGGGGAGCGAACAGGAUUAGAUACCCUGGUAGUCC